CCAUGCCUUUUAUGUCGUCUUUGUUCCAUGAUCCCUUGUAUUCUCCCGUCGAAACACUUGCACUUGCCUCGAAUGUGCAUGUUUUUUCUUCAACGAUGUCCCAUACAUCUCGGAACAUCAAAAUGCAUUUAGUUGUAGUUGUUAGCUCGGGCUCUGGCUCUGGCUCUCGUAGGCUCUGGCUCUGGCUCCGGCUUUAGUUUUGGCUCUGGCUCCGGCUCUGGCUCUCUUGGCUCUCGCUCGGGCUCUGGCCUUCUUAGUUGAGGAUGGUGAGGACAAACGCCCAUAACCAUCCGAUGUGCAUAUCUCUGGCUUCACGAUCCUUGACACCUGGCUCAGUUACGAACCUAGGUGCAAUUGGCUUUGAUACCAUGUUA
rnacentral:lncRNA from 1 species